rnacentral:lncRNA from 1 species
GGCGACAGUGCUGUGACGAAAGUUAGAAACACGACAUACGUGGCCAGAGCUUGUGCCACUCCACGAUUCUCGAAUACGUGCACCGCAAAAUUUCGAAAACAUUGUGGCACUACCUAAAAAAAGUAGAAAUUGUCGAUGGCACGUGACACAGUCUCAGUGGAACGAGGAAGAAUUGGUCAGACUUUGAAAUAUAGACAUAUUGAAAUAUUACUACUAUGGAUUUACUAAAGCAAUGGAGUUCUAGUGGACAGAGAAUGAUUAAUGCAGGAAAUUGGUCAGACCCUUGAUAUAAUAUUCAAUUUGAAUUGAAAGAUAUUAAAAUUAUCAGAGAGAAGAAUGCGAAGAAUGAUUAAUGGAGUUUUAAAUGAAUGAAAAUUGAUUAUUGCAGCAAUUGAUUAGAUGUUAAAAUAUAAUCCAAUUUAUGUAUUAAAACAUUAUGAAAGAGAGUAAGUAAAUGGACAAGAAAUGUAGUAAUUGGAAUAUAACAUUGUUCAAUUUAAUUCAAUUUAAAAUUAUUAAAGAAUCCUUCCAAAGAAUAAUUAUAAUGAAUAAAAAGUGUGCAGGAAUUGAUCAGACUUCUUAAUUUAUGAGAGAUAAUUAGUGCAGGAAUUAAUAUACUUUCAUUUGGUAAACAAAUGAAAUGCAAUAUUAAUAGAAGGAUUUUCCAAAGAAAAAUAAUGGACAAAAAGAAGAUAAUGUAGAAAUUGGUUAGACAUUGGAAUGCUCAACAUACUGAAACAUUACUGGAGAAAACUUUUUAACAAACUAGGUGAAGUUUUACAACAAUACUGGGACUCAUGACAAUUUCUUGACCCACUAACAAACAGUCAUAGACGAAUGGAGUAGAAGAUAAUAUUUCAUCUAGUCCCAUAUUGUGAGGGAUUAAGGGCAAUAAGUUCAAAAAUACUUAAGACUUCUAUGCUGGACGCGAACACGACAAUAAAGUUUCUCCAUUUUACUUCCAUACCAAGAUUACUUUUCAUAUGAAAUUGAAAACACAGCUAUAUAUAAUAAUUCGAUAUGGUAGGAAAUUUAAUCAAAUUCCCUAAUCAAAACUUACACUUUCAUCUGUAGUAAUAGUAGAUACUAAUUGUGAUGUAUAUUAGUUUAAUAGAAAUGAAAUUUUGUAAAAGUAAAAUUACAAUGAAAGAUCGUAGAUUAGUGGACUAUUUAAAGUUUCGUAUAAAUGGAAUUCUACAGAAGAAAUUUGAUGAAAGUGCAUAUCUCUUAUCUCGAUUUGAUUAACCGACCAGAUUAUUUUUAGCGACUGGGUUCCAUUAAGAACGGUGGAAGUUUGUUAAAGAUACCGAGUUAUCGAGCAUCGCUUAUAAUUCUAGCCAACAUUCUACCCGUGACCUGGCCCAUUGUGCACUUUAAUCAGGUAUCUGUGACCUGCUACGAUAACGUUAGGCCACUGUCCAGGCUCUUGUAUUUAUCAACCCUGUAGAUCUUGCAUCUCUAUUCUCCUUAUAUUUGGUUAAAUACUCUCUUAACUAGACAACCAUCAUUUCCUCUCUCAUUCUCAACUUUAACAUUUUUUUUUUUCAUUCUUUUCUUUUCCAGAUAUCCAGAAUCAAUCUAUUAUGGAUUUUAACGUUUUUUUAAGUAUGGUAUAGAAAUUUUUCUUAGACACACGUAACAUAUGCCUUCAUCCAUUUGGUGUCUAUUAUUAUUUAACUAUUGGAUCUCAAAUAUUCAUGAAAUAUGCCCAAUAUAAUAUUAGCAAAUAUUUCGAAAACUAAGGCUAAUCGAUUGUACAUUUAACAUCUUCUGCAAUACGUUUAAAGAUCAAAAUAUUAAUAUUAUUAUCAAAAUAGGAGCGUCACGUGUCGACAGCUUCAGCAUGUCGUAUUAUAUAAAUUAUAUGAUAAAAAUUUAUAAAAAUUUAUGAUAUAUUCAUCAAUUUUUCGCGCGAGAUAGAGAGAUCUAGGGACUUUGGCUCGCAGCAGUUGUUAAAUGGAAAAUUUAUCGAAUCGUAAUGGAAACCCUACGGCUAUUUGCGAAAUAUUCGUAUCUAUCUGCAUUUGAUGUUUUCCCAAAUUGCCAAAAUUUCGACGAUGUAAAUUUCAUGAUGCGCGCCUAAAAUUUUUAUAAAUCAAAUAAUACCUCUACUUCCAAGUAUAUAUAUUAAACCUAUUAUCCGUUAAUAUUCAAAUAUCUGUAUAUUUUCGUAACUCCACUCUAGUUGAUUAUUUUGUAAAUUAUUCACCAAAUUAUUUUGGAGCAACUUAAUAUUGCGUUGACACAAUUCUGAAUUAUACGAUCGACUAUAUGGAUAUGGGGUAUAUAUAUAUAUAUGUUAUAAUAAUUAGGGAGAAAAUUGCAGAGACAGUUUGCUAUACGUUGUCCAUUAUAUUAAUAAACAAUUAAGAGAGUGCAUUAA